rnacentral:tRNA from 1 species
GUCGUUGUAGUAUAGUGGUGAGUAUUCCCGCCUGUCACGCGGGUGACCCGGAUCGAUCCCCGGCAACGGCG